CGCAAGAGAAACAAAGGCAGAAGCGAGUAUCGAGUUUGCGUGCACGCAAGUCGGCGUUUUGUAUCGGGAUAAAACGAUAAGAAAGAAAACCGAUAACGCCCGUGUAAGUACGGCCCGCUCCAGUGUCACCUGCUAGAUGCAAGAAAGUAAAUGCACUCUUCUUCGGCUUCGAGGGCUGCCUCUUAUCGGGCUGCUAUUCAAUUUUCAUCGUGUGAAGUAGCACGGCCACUAAAACAAUGUCGAGCACCGCGACAAAAACCGUUUAAUAGAGACACGCCCGAUACCGACCCCUCGCUAUUUGUAUACCGCUUGUUACGACCGAGGUGUGGCGGCCAUCGUCAGCCGUUGUUUGUACCGCGGCAGGGCACUCGUUUGAACCAACCGGUACGCGCUAGUUAGAUCAAUAUCGCGUCCCUCCAAGUAAAUCAUAGAGAACAGCAUGCGAAAACACGCGACAUAAACUGGAAAUCCUCGAAUUUAUUCGGGGCCGCUCGCCUAAAGCGAAAUUAUUAACAGCGUUAUAAACCUCAUGAAAUAUCGUUC
rnacentral:misc_RNA from 1 species